rnacentral:rRNA from 1 species
GUGAGGAAUAUUGCGCAAUGGACGAAAGUCUGACGCAGCCAUGCCGCGUGAAGGAUUGACGGCCCUAUGGGUUGUAAACUUCUUUUGUAUAGGAAUAAACCCUCGUUCGUGAACGAGGCUGAAGGUACUAUAAGAAUAAGCACCGGCUAACUCCGUGCCAGCAGCCGCGGUAAUACGGAGGGUGCAAGCGUUAUCCGGAUUUAUUGGGUUUAAAGGGUCCGUAGGCGGAUCGUUAAGUCAGUGGUGAAAUCCUACCGCUCAACGGUAGAACUGCCAUUGAUACUGGCGAUCUUGAGUAUGUAUGAAGUUGGCGGAAUGUGUGGUGUAGCGGUGAAAUGCUUAGAUAUCACACAGAACACCGAUUGCGAAGGCAGCUGACUAAUACACAACUGACGCUGAGGGACGAAAGUGUGGGGAUCAAACAGGAUUAGAUACCCGGGUAGUCC